UCUAAGCUCAGACUCACCAAAGGAUCUGGAAUCCGGGCCCGUGCUUACGAAGAGAAUAUGAAGCAGGUGGCAAAAGUGGCAUUGCUCCUGAUCUUGGCCUCGUGGAGCCUUGCCAAGACCACCCAGCCCCUCUCCAUGGACUCCUAUGAAGGCCAAGAAGUGAAUGUGUCCUGCAGCCAUACCAACAUUGCUACAAACGAGUACAUCUACUGGUACCGGCAGGUCCCCCAGCAGGGACCACAUUUUAUCAUUCAAGGAUAUAAGGACUAUGUGGCAAAUGAAGUGGCGUCUCUGUUUAUCUCUGCUGACAGGGAGCUCAGCACUCUGAGCCUGCCCCUGGUUUCUGUGAGAGACGCUGCUGUAUAUUACUGCCUUGUGGCUGACACACAGUGA